UUGUCACCAACGCACGUGACCUGGCGCCGAGUCGGGAGACGCUCUCAAGUUAGGGACAAGCCCGGGCAACAAAAGCUGGGGAGCCGCAAGCAGAGAAGAGGGGCGAAUGGGAGAGAAAGGGGUGUCAGGGUGGGUGCUGGGCGCUGGAGCGACUGGGAAGAGGGACGGAGGGAUUGGGGGCGAACAGAAAUGGGAACUGGCAGGGAGAGGCAGGAAGGGAGGAGUGUGAGGAAGAACAAACGGGAAUUUGAGGGGAAGACAGACGAACCCCGACCCCACGGCUCCAUUGGCCAAGUGAGGGGCCAAGGGUUUUUAUCACAAAAAGGCAUUUUUUUUUUUUUCUCUCCUGUGAAGAGGAAGUUAAGGGCAUUAAGAGAGAGGGAGGCUAACAAACCCAAGAACCGUGUUCUGGCGGGGGUAUGGGGGAAACCUGUAGCGUGGUGUUUGUUAUAAAGCAGGCCCACAUUUGGGCCUUCUUGGGAAGGAAAGUCUAGGGCCCAGCAGGCCCACAUUUGGGCCUUCUUGGGAAGGAAAGUCUAGGGCCCAGAUAAUGGGGAUGCCCGCCCACACAACUUUUUAAGACAAGGAGCCGGGAGUCACUCUGAGAACUAAAAGUUGGGGUCUGACAACUUGGCCUAAAAGCUUACAGGGGAGGAGGCAGAAGAGGUGGUGAGCCCAGGCCUGAAGGCCAAUAGGGGAGGAUCCUAGAGGACCCUCUGCUCCACAGAGGAAAAGAACCCUGGAUGAGGAAGAGUUAGGAAAGCCUCUUCUUCCUCAGGGUCUGCAUCUAACCUUUCAUGUGACAUAGAGAGAUUUUGAUCUGUCUGGUAAUAUCUACAAACUGUGGGCAUUUACACUGGACCUACACACUGGGCUAUUUAUAGUGAGGAGGGAAUAAGACUGGGUUGGAAAAUGCUAUCAAAACCAAAGCUCUGUACACAUCUGGGUGCUUAGCUGUGUCAGGCAGAGGAAUCAUGUUGAUGCACAGCAGCUGCUCAUGUGGGUCCUAUUUGGACCAAGAUGUACUUCUCUGACCUAGAAAGGAGUUUAUAAGGACCCUCAAUAUGUAUAUCAUCAUUACAGUAUCUACAAGACUCACAUUCUGACCCUCUCAAGACCCGCCACAAUCCGGUGGUCAAUCCGUUCCCAACAAUACUGGUUUUAAAAGAUGUAAAUUUAAAGUACAGGAGCUCUGCUGACACUCAGGAGUAAUGACCAAAAUAUGCUGGUCAUUUGACCUUGAGUGGUAGAGCAAGGUGUAACUUGUGAACUGAACAGCCUCAGAGAAACUGAAUAUGCUUUGGAUUUUAGGUUUUGGCGAAUCAGGCUCAUCCUAAUAUUUUCUCUCAAAUGUCAUUGCUAUGUUAGGGAACCCCACAAUCUCAUGUUUCCAUGAAGAGAGGCUGACUCCCUGCUGUGGGGGCGACCCUUUUCCCAUCUGUCAGCAUCUUCCGGUUUGUUUUCCCUGGAACUCAGUACACUCCUUCAGUACCCCAACAAAAGGGAUUCGACCUCAGGUUUUGUUGUGAAGGACCGCAGAGCAGGGCCACAUGCCUCCCAUUCAGAACCAAAACGUGAUGACGAUUAUAGGGUCUAAUUUUUAAUAAGUCAAAUUGAGACCUACCUUUGUCCAGCUCGAUAAGGUUCAUCACAGUUAAAGGCAAAAUGUGAAAGCACACCAUACUUUGUUAUGAUGAAGAAAACAGUGAGGUAGAUCAUGCUUCCAAAGAUGGACACAACAGUAUCUCCUUCACAAAGGAGUCUGUUUUUCUUCCCCUUGAGUCUGAAGUGACCCUGUGACUCCUUUGGUCAAUAGAAUGUGGCAGAAAUAAUUUUCUAGGACUUCCAAGCCCAGGCAUUAAGAAAGCCUGACAGCUUCUGCUUUGUAUUCUGGGGAAAGCCAGAUACCACGUAAAAAGUUCAUAUACACUGAGACCACCACGCUGUGAAGACAUCUAAGCUAGCCACGUGGAGAAACCAUGUCAAAGACUGAGAUGCUUGGACAGGCCCCAGCUAUUCAGCCUGCCCUAGCUAAGGUACCAGAUGUAUGAGUGAAAAAGCCCUCUUGGAAGUUCUAAACCUUUCAGACACCAUGUGGAACAGAGAUGAGCCAUCCCCACUGAGCCCCUGCCAAAACUGGAGAAUCGAAAGCAAAUAAAUGUUUUAAGGGGCUUUAUGUGGUUUUGGGAAACCCUGGUGGCAUAGUGGUUAACUGCUAUGGCUGCCAACCUAGGUCAGCGGUUCGAAUCCACCAGGCGCUCCUUGGAAACUCUAUGGGGCAGUUCUACUUUGUCCUAUAGGGUCGCUAGGAGUCGGAAUCGACUCGACAGCAACAGGUUUGAUUUUUGGUUAAUGUGGUUUUUAAAAGAGGUUGUUUUUAAAACAGCAAUAGAUAACUAAAACACAAGGCUAAACAACAUAAAGGCCUAUAGCACACAGAUCAGCCAUCUCUAAACUCUACAAAGCAGGUUUUUGUAAUAAAAUUAUCUCAGCAGUCAUUUGCUUUCUAUUUACUCUCUUGCUCCUUUAUAAUCUUCGCACCUGGUGCUUAUUUAUCCCAAGGGUGUACCAAGUUGGGUGGGGGGGGGAUGGGCUGUGGGAGAAGCUUGCCUCUACAGUGAUUAGAACUGCUGGCACAAUAAUACAAAUAACACAAAGCAAACUGACUUUUAGUCAGUUUCACUAUUGUCUUUAAAUUAUCUUCAGACAGGAAAAAAAAAAAAAAAAAAAACACCCUGCUUACUGCCCUCUCCCAGGGCAAAUAACUCUCAUGGCCUCCCUCCUUACUGGGCCACUGGUUUAGCCUCUUGAGAGAGGCUCAGGAGUAAGGUUAUCUCCACAGCGUGGACCUGAGUAAAACCAAACUGUCAAAUCACACAGCUGCAAACCAGUCUCUCAUCUGUUGGCUGACAAAGACUCAGCCAGGUUCCCUGCCUGGGCAGACACAGUAAAUCCAACCAUCCUUUAAUUCACAGGAUAAUUCUUAGUGUGUUGCUAUAGUACCCACUUCCAGGCUCACUCCCUGCUGUGGGGGCGACCCUUUUCCCAUCUGCCAGUGUCCUCCUGUCUGUUUUCCCUGGAGCUCAAUACACUCCCCUAUCUACUGCAACAAAAGGGAUUCAACCUCAGGUUUUGUUGUGAAGGACCACAGGGCAGGGCCACAUUUAUGCCAACAUCCAGACACAAUGCAGCUAAUGGUCCUGCCUCCUGCUUACUAAAGCAGGCCAUAGCCAUCACCCUGCUAGUUGUGUUGAGGCUGCUAAAGAAUGCUGCUUCCUACCAAGCCUCAGAUGGAGAACCCCAGAGGGUGGCUGCGCAGGGCAACCUAAGAACACAAAGCAACAAGUUGUCCAGUCUGUACUGAGGAAAAAUCCCAAUGUGAAGUCUGCCUAGGUAAUUUUCAAUCUAUCCAUCAACAAAUAGGGUCUGUCGGGCCUUUAUUAGGCACCCAGCAUGUUGGCAAGUAUCUGCAAAGACAAGAAUUUUUUUAGUUUUAUUUUUGGUGAAAAUAUCUAACAAACCAUACACCAUUCAACAUUUUCUGCACGUACAGUUCAGUGACACUGGUUAUAUCCUUUGCAUUGUGUCACCAUUCUCACCAUCUUACUCACGUCACCAUCAUCAACUUAGACUCUCCCCUAAACUUCUCCCCUGUAUUUUACAGUUACUGUUGUCAAUUUUAUCUCAUAUAGAUAAUUCUUAAAAAAAAACACACUGCCGAAAGACAUGCUUACUAGUUGAGCUAAACUGUUGUUUAGUUUAAAGAUGACUUCAUGGAAUAGUUUCGGUUCAAAGUUUAAAGAUUAUAUCAGGGCAGUAGAUUCAGGGAUUCCCCCGGUCUCAAUGGGUCCAUUAAGUCUGGUUUCUAUAAGAAUUUGAAAUCCUUUCUACAUUUUCCCUCUUUUUGAUCAGGAUCCACCAUUGGGUUCUUGAUCAAAACGUUCAGUAAUGGUAGCGGGGCACCAUCGCAUUCUUCUGGUCUCCUGACAAGGGAGGUAAUUGACAAGGGUAGUAGUUCACGGAGACAAUUGGAUCUGCAGUCCAUUUCCUUUUCAGUUUCCUGGGGCUUCUUCUUUUGCUGUUCCAGGUGAAUAGAGACUAAUUGUUGUGUCUUGGAUGGCUGCUCACAAGUAUUUAAAACCCUAGGAAGUACUCAUCAGACUAGGAAGUAGGACAGUCUCUAAAAUAAUACUAGGCUAAUUGACUGGACAGACCCUCAAAACCAUGACCCUAAACCUUUGCGCCAAGAAAACUCAUCCCAAGAGGUGUGUAAUUGUACGUAAGCAGUGGUUAAGAGCUCAGGCUGCUAACCAAAAGGUUGGCAGUUUGAAUCCAUCAGCUGCUCCUUGGAAGCCCUGUGGGGCAGUUCUGCUCUGUCCUCUAGGGUCACUAUCAGUUGGAAUCGACUCAAUGGUAAUGGGCUUGGGCAAGUAGUAUCAACAACGGCUGCCUCUCUUAUUUAUUAUUAUUUUUGGCUGCUGUUGUUGUUAUGUAUAAAAUUACGUAUAACACUGUAUUUGCCAUUUCGCCCCUUUUCUGGUGUGCAUUUUAGUGAUAUUAGUUACGUUUGUCAAAUUGUGUAACCAUCACACUUAGUCAAUGCAAAUUUUUCUAUCGCCGUAAACAAAAAUUUACUACUUCACAGAAAUUGAUUCCUUCUCUCCUUCCGCCUCCUGUCCCUGGUAACUACUAAUAACUCUUGGUCUGUAUUUACCUAUUUCUUGUCAUUUCAUAUAAGUGAGUUCAUAAAAUAGUUGCCCUUUUUUCGCUCAGCAUGAUGUCUUCAAGUUUCAUCCAUGUUGUAGCAUGUUUCAGGAUUUUUUUUUUUUUCUUUAAUUGCAUUUUAGAAGAACAAUCACUUGGAAUUCUAGUGAAAUCUAUUGUUCUACCAGAAGGAAAGAAAAAAAUCUAUCUGGGUCUCCAGAAAGCCUGGACCAGAUGGAAGCGAGAGGUUCAAUGAACUCCGCUUCCUGAAAUGAAAACAUAAUGUAGCAGUCUCACUGGACUGCCAGUUACCAUCUCAGGAAGGAAUCAGGAAUUAUGCCAGGGUCAAGACCUUGGAACCCUCCUAACUCCUGUAUGCUACUUUGUUUCCUUUUUUAACCCAAUUUCUACAUGAUGAUUAGAAAUAAAAUCCUUAAAAUGAAAAGAGUCUGUGUGCUAUGUGCUGGCUGAGGUACCAGAAAGGAGGGAGGAGGUGGCAGCACCUCAUUCAGUAGCCAGUGCUGGGGGAGAAGAGCCCUUAAGGGCUCUAGUCCGAGGUGGAUUUUCAGUAAUUGACAACAGUCUCCCAGACUGAGAGUGCUUUCUCCACUUUCUGUAAAGUCCUAACUUUAAAGGCGUUUUGGUUUUUUUUUUUUUUAGUUUCUAGGUGAAUGCACAGGUGAGAACUCAAUCGUUUAAAGUUAUAUUAAAACUCAACAUUAUAGCAGAGCAGAAGAGCUGAAAGGAAGGUCAUUCUUUAAUGGAUGUGGCCUAGAUAAGUGAUUUAGAAUGUCCGUCCAUAUACCACCUCAGCCCCAAGGAGCCAGGAAACUUGAAGAACCCACUUUGGGGGUUGGGGGUGGGCAGAGCGACUUGGUCCUGGGGCAGCUGCUGGCAGUUAUCUGAAGUGUGUAAGCAAAGGUCUUUUGUUGCUCCCUCUGCCAAAGCUACCUGUUCAUUCAUAGAGCUGUAUCUGAAUCACUGCCCAAAAGUCUGUAUGUGCCAAAGGUGGCCCAGGAUGGGGUCUAUAAUCGUGAAUUGCUCUAUUAUGGGAACAGGUUGAGUAGAAUGUGUCUUUUUGAACUUCUAGAGAGGAUGAUGCACACACUACGAUUGCUACUUAUGUAAUCUACUAUACUGCUUAAAUAAUCUGCCUUUGGAAGGAAAAUGUGUUUAUUGGGGUCAUUCUUUUUGCUUGAAUUAACUGUCUUAAAUAUCCAUUACAUUGUGCAAGAUUAAUUUGUGUUCUUAAAGGUCCAGAUUUUUCAUGACUUUGGCAAAGCCAGGCCUAAGUGUUUUGAUAACCUGAGGCAGGAUUUUAGACUUCUGUUCUUUUGUAGCCUCUUCUGCUUCAUUCCUCUUUGAUAGGGGUAGUCAUUCCAUUCCUUCUGCAGCUUGGAGAGGGAGAAUUUGAGUAGCACAGUCCUGUAAGGCUGAACCUCAUCUACUCAUUCAUUUAGGUCACAACAUGUCCUAAGUACCUUCUGUGUUCACAGCAUUCAUCCAUUCAUUCAACAAGUAUUUAAUGAACAAGAAGCUGCCAUCUAGCAGAGGGGAUACAAUAAACAAAUAAAUAUAUAAUGUAAUGGGUACAAGGAAUCCCUGGAUGACACUAACGUUUACUAACCGAGAGGCUGGCGAUUUAAACCAGCUCAGAGAUGCCUCAGAAGAAAGUACUGACAAUCCACUUCUGAAAAAUCAGCCAUUAAAAACCCUGUGGGUCACAGUUCUACUCUGACACACGUGAGGUUUCCAUGAGUUGGAAUUGACUUGAUGGCAACUGCUUUUGGUGAUGUAAGUAUGCGAGUUAUCAGCUUUUGAUAAUAUUUAAAGCCAUAGAACUCUGGAUCAAAUGACCAAGGGAGAAUAUGGACAAGGAAGAGAGGGUAAAGACUGGGCCUGGGGUCUGACAUUUAGAAGAAAGAAGGAUGAGGAGUAUCCAGCUAAGAAGACUGAGAAGGAGCAGUAUGCUAAGUGUGGUUUCCUGGAUACUGAGUGCUGAAUGUGCUUGUAGAGGGGAAGUGUGAGCAAGCUGGGCCAGGUGUUACAGCGGCCAGAGCACCAUGAGGACUGUGAAGUGGCCUCUGGGUUUGGCAAGAUGGCGGUCAGUGGUUACCUUGGUAGGGGACUGGUGGCUGAGAAUCCUGACUGGAGUGGAUUAAAAAUAGAAUGGAAAGAAUUGAGACUGCAGAUAUAAAUCCAUCCACAUAUGAGCAGCUGAUAUUUGACAAAGGCCCAGUGUCAGUUAAUUGGGGAAAAGAUAGUCUUUUUAACAAAUGGUGCUGGCAUAACUGGAUAUCCAUCUGCAAAAAGAUGAAACAGGGCCUGAACCUUAUACCAUGCACAAAAACUAACUCCAAAUGGAUCACAGACCUAAACAAAGUCUAAAACGAUAAAGAACAUGGAAGAAAAAAUAGUGACAAUGUUAGGAGCCCUAACACAUAGCAUAAACAGAAUACAAAACAUAACUAAAAAUGCUGAAGAGAAACCAGAUAACUGGGAGCUCCUAAAAGUCAAACACCUAUGCUCAUCUAAAGGCUUCACCAAAAGAGUAAAAAGACCACCUACAGACUGGGAAAAAAUUUUCAGCUACGACAUCUCCACCCAGCGCCUGAUCUCUAAAAUCUACGUGAUUCUGCUACAACUCAACCACAAAAAGACAAACAACCCAAUUAAAAAAUGGGCAAAGGGUAGGAACAGACACUUCACUAAAGAAGACAUUCCGGUGGCUAACAGAUACGUGAAGAAAUGCUCUCGAUCAUUAGCCAUUAGAGAAAUGCAAAUCAAAAUUACAAUGAGAUUCCAUCUCACUCCAACAAGGCUGGCAUUCAUCCAAAAAACACAAAAUAAUAAACGUUGGAGAGGCUGUGGAGAGAUUGGGAUACUUACACACUGCUGGUGGGGAUGUAAAAUGGCACAUCCACUUUAGAAAUUGAUUUGGCACUUCCUUAAAAAGCUAGAAAUAGAACUACCAUACGACCCAGCAGUCCGUGCUCCUUGGAAUAUAUCCUAGAGAAAUAAGAGCCUUUACACGAACAGAUAUAUGCACACCCAUGUUUAUUGCAGCACUGUUUACAAUAGCAAAAAGAGGGAAGCAACCAAGGUGCCCAUCAACAGAUGAAUGGAUAAAUAAAUUAUGGUAUAUUCACACAAUGGAAUACUAUGCAUCGAUAAAGAACAGUGAGGAAUCUGUGAAACAUUUUAUAACAUGGAGGAACCUGGAAGGCAUUAUGCUGAGUGAAAUUAGUCAGUUGCAAGAGGACAAAUAUUGUACUAGACUACUAUUAUAAGAUCUUGAGUAAUAGUUUAAACUGAGAAUAAAACAUUCUUUUGUGGUUACGAGAGUGGGGAGGGAGGGAGGCUGGGAGGGAGUACUCACUAAUUAGAUAGUGAUAAGAACUACUGUAGGUGAAGGGAAGGAGAACACUCAAUACAGGGGAGGUCAGCACAACUGGACUGAACCAAAGCAAAGCAGUUUCCUGAAUAAACUGAAUGUUUCGAAGGUUAGCGAAGCAGGGUCAGGGUUUGGGGACCAUGGUUUCAGGGGACAUCUAAGUCAAUUGGCAUAAAAAUUCUAUUAAGAAAACAUUCUGCAUCCCAUUUUAAAGAGUGGUGUCUGGUGUCUUAAACACUAGCAAGUGGCCAUCUAAGAUGUAUCAAUGAGUCUCAAUCCUCCUGGAUCAAAGGAGAAUGAGGAACACCAAGGACACAAGGCGAUUAUGAACCCAAGAGACAGAAAGGGCCACGUGAACCAGAGACUACAUCAUCCUUAGACCAGAAGAACUAGAUGGUGCCUGGCCACAACCUAUGACUGCCCUGACAGGGAACACAGUGGAGGAUCCCUGAGGGAGCAGGGGAACAGCGGGAUGCAGACCCCAAAUUCUCAUAAAAAGACCAGACUUAAUGGUCUGACUGAGACUAGGAGGACCUUGGUGGUCAUGGUCCCCAGACCUUCUGUUGGCCCAGGACAGGAACUAUUCCAGAAGCCAGCUCGUUGGACGUGGAUUGGACUGGACAAUGGGUAGGGGAGGGAUGCUGGUGAGGAAUGAGCUACUUGGAUCAGGUGGACACUUGAGACUAUGUUGGCACCUCCUGCCUGGAGGGAAGAUGGCAGGGUAGAGGGGCUUAGAAGCUGGCAAAAUAGACAUGAAAAGAGAGAGUGGAAGGAGGGAGCGGGCUGUCUCAUUAGGGGGAGAGUAAUUGGGAGUGUGUAGCAAGGUGUAUAUAAGUUUUUAUGUGAGAGACUGACUUGAUUUGUAAACUUUUACUUAAAGCACAAUAAAAAUUAUUUUAAAAAUUAGAAUGGAAAAUUACAAGAAAGAGAGAAUGGUAGGCAAGAAGCAAGAGAGAGAGAAUCUAAUUUUGCUGUAAAGGAGAACAGUGAAUUAGGGUGGCACUAGAAGGGAAUGAAAGACAAGAAAUUUUGUCUUUAUUUUGUGUUUUUACUGUGGGAGAAAUUGCAGCGCCUGGUAUGCUGAUAAGAAUGGUGUGGUAGAGAGGCUGAAACUGUCCUUGCAGGAGAAAAAAAAAAAAAGGGAGGGUAAUUACAGUAGCAAAUCCUGGAUACCUAAGAGGGGAUGGGAUCAAGAGGUGUUAAAUGACCUACCCGGGUCAUAUAACUUGUGAGUGGCAGUGCUUACGCUUGGCUCCAGGAAUUCUAACUCAGAGACUCUAGUCUCUUUCCCAACAAACUACAUUUCAGUUCCUAUCUUUGGGAGCGGCAAUCACCGUAAUAAUCCCCAGGGAAGGAAGCACAGGAAUACAAAGGAGGAAACCAAGUCAUGUAUCCAAUUGCAGCUGUCCUGGACUACCUACUGAUGACCCCACUCAGGACUUGGCAGGGAGGUGAAAGAGUUCAGACCGUCGGGGAAGAAGAGAAAGAGAAAUUGAUGAGGCUCUGCUUGCCUUAUUGAUGAACUAAAACACCCCCAGGAAGUCCAGUGUAAAAAGUAGUUUUGCAUUCUCAAGCAUUUGCCCUCUGCCAACACAUCAGCUACAUAGACUUUGACAAGACUGUUGCAAGAUUCCUCUAUCAUUAUUAUCCCCAGAAAAUGUCCUGUGAGAGAUUCCAAAACCCUGUGAUGCCAACACGUGGAUCUUCUUGGCUUCGUAUUGAUUAUGUGCAGUCAUCCCCAAACACCAGCAGCUGUGCCAAGACAGUGUUCCUUUUCUGAAAAUUUGACCUACAAGGCAGAGGAACACAGAGGUCCCUGGAUGGUGCACAUGAUUUGUACUCAACUGCUAACCUAAAGAUUGGCAGUUUGAACCUACCCAGUGACACUGUGGAAGAAAGACCUGGCCAUCUUUUGUAAAGAAGAACAGCCAAGAAAACCCUACAGACCACACUUCUACUCUGUAACACAUGGAAUUGCCAUGAGUUGGUAUUGACUUGAUGAUAAUGUGUUUGGUUUGGCAGAAGACUACAGUAAAAUAAACCACUCAGUCCUAAUAUGAAAA